rnacentral:rRNA from 1 species
GUGGGGAAUAUUGGACAAUGGGCGCAAGCCUGAUCCAGCCAUGCCGCGUGAGUGAUGAAGGCCCUAGGGUUGUAAAGCUCUUUCACCGGAGAAGAUAAUGACGGUAUCCGGAGAAGAAGCCCCGGCUAACUUCGUGCCAGCAGCCGCGGUAAUACGAAGGGGGCUAGCGUUGUUCGGAAUUACUGGGCGUAAAGCGCACGUAGGCGGACAUUUAAGUCAGGGGUGAAAUCCCGGGGCUCAACCCCGGAACUGCCUUUGAUACUGGGUGUCUGGAGUAUGGAAGAGGUAAGUGGAAUUCCGAGUGUAGGGGUGAAAUUCGUAGAUAUUCGGAGGAACACCAGUGGCGAAGGCGGCUUACUGGUCCAUUACUGACGCUGAGGUGCGAAAGCGUGGGGAGCAAACAGGAUUAGAUACCCCUGUAGUCC